CUGCAACAACAAACCAGCUGUUAGAAACGUAUUACAUUUCUAAUUUGAAUUUACGUCUUUACCGCCUUUUCUAACGUGCUUUUACGCGACGUCCAAACAUUGACGUCGACGUCAUCAUUUUCUGUUGUUAUUGUUUUGAACGUCGCUUCCGUUAGCGCAAACAUAUAUUUCAAUUCAGGAACUUGAUGUAAAACUUGGUAAAGAUCAAAAAUCGUAACACAUACGGAUAGCACCGGGUAACAACCACACACCACACCUUAGCACGCAAAACCACAGAAGUGUGGAUGCACCUGUUGAGGACAAAAACACACAGGUUGAUGCAAUCAGAUUAGAUGGAGAUUAUGUUGAGCUGUUCUUGAUACGGAGGACAUUAUCAUCUGUUAACGUCCAAAUUUUGAAGGAAGUACCGGCCUGUGAUACUGACAGUGCAGAUGACAUAGAUGUAGAAAUGGAAACGUUGCGAAAAUUGUCCGGCCGCUUCACUUAAAUUAAAAAAAAAAUGCAGUCAAGUCCUAUCAGAAGUGAACUGAGUUUCUCUAAAAAGAAAAAAAAAACCUGCCUGUUUUAAAGCUGCUUACCAGCAUUUUUUGGUGAUGAAACAUAUUUCUAAAAAUUACUUAAUUGUUUUAAAGGAAGGAUGUUAAUAAAAAUACGAUAUUUUGAAGGAUUUUAAAGAAACUUUACAUAAAUGUUCACCACAUUGAGAAGACAUGCAAAGGUCAUGAAAGAAACCCAAUUAUAAGUAGUCUAUAUAUGUUGAUUAUAUAUGCUAAUGAUACAGUAUUCAAAAAGUUUCAAGGCAAAAAUAUGUGUCAACUUGUAGUGCUUGUAUUCACAUUAUACUCCAGAAGAACUGGCAUGUACUAUUUGUUUGGUUUUAACAUGUAAAAUUUGUAUUAGGUUAUAUUUAUUUUAUGUUGACUA
rnacentral:lncRNA from 1 species